rfam:Gossypium hirsutum cultivar TM-1 chromosome 2, whole genome shotgun sequence
UAUUCAAAUUUUUAUCAAUUUCUAUUCUUAAAAAUUGGCAUGGCUAUAAGAAUAACCAAAUAGUUACACAUGGUGUGUCACAAGUACCUUAUGCUGACGUACAACAACUAGUUUUUAAUAAUAGAAAUAGAUUACAUUUUUAAUA